GACGAACGCUGGCGGCGUGCUUAACACAUGCAAGUCGAACGGAAAGGCCCUGCUUUUGUGGGGUGCUCGAGUGGCGAACGGGUGAGUAACACGUGAGUAACCUGCCCUUGACUUUGGGAUAACUUCAGGAAACUGGGGCUAAUACCGGAUAGGAUCUCCUGCUGCAUGGUGGGGGUUGGAAAGUUUCGGCGGUUGGGGAUGGACUCGCGGCUUAUCAGCUUGUUGGUGGGGUAGUGGCUUACCAAGGCUUUGACGGGUAGCCGGCCUGAGAGGGUGACCGGGCACAAUGGGACUGAGAUACGCACCAGACGCGUACGGGAGGCAGCAGGGGGGAGUAUGGCACAAUGGGCGGAAGCGAGUGGCGGCGGCGCUGCGUGCGGGAUGACGGGCUUCGGGUGGUGAACCGCUGUCGCCUGUGACGAAGCGUGCGUGACGGUAAUGGGUAAGGAAGCACCGGCUAACUACGUG
rnacentral:rRNA from 1 species